rnacentral:lncRNA from 1 species
CCUAUACCUGAUAAAAACUUCAAGAAGCAAGCAAAAGCAAUAAUCUAAUUUAUACGUUGCCAGUAAUCAUAAAAAGAAUCUAUGAAGAGCUAGCCGAUGCUCUGAUACCAAAUGUUGGAAUUUAUCGUUAGCCACAUGCAUAGAUUACAACGUAAUACAGGGGACGAAAGAGCACACAAAUAUGAUGAAGCCAUUACUGAAUGAUUGAGGAAGAGUCUUCUACUCAAUGGGGACCUUAUGUUCUCACUAGAAUAGGGCUAGUUGCUAAAAGAACGUAUUCCUCUUGAGCAAGGACUAAACCAUUUUAUAGACGUAUAACCACAACCAUUUCCACCUAUCACAUAAAUUGCUUGGCAAAACUGCAUGCCCAUUUACACUCCAACGUGGGAUAUCCACUCAACAACAUGUUUAACCUUAUUGUCCUACUUUAAAGGAAAGAAGACUUAUUCAAAUAUUAACUCUAACUGAUUCAAGUUUCAACUAAACUCAAAACCCUAAUGAGAUAAAUUUAGAGUCCAAUAGGGUUCCAACAUUGUCCCAUUUGGACCUAAACUGAUCAUCCUUGUUUCGAGCCAUGUUUCCACCAAAACCAAUUCCUUAGUGAUCACGUGAGUUAAUAAACGAAUAACCAAUUCCUCACUCAUCCACCAUGAGUGAUUCGAGACAUAGAACUUCAGAAAAGACAUGCACUAUCAUAGCACAACCACUCUGAAAUCACCAUAUCACAAAACCAUUCACGUAUGAUGCAUAAACAUGUUGGCCAGAAUGGAGUUUUACUUUAUACUCCCAUUGGAUAAACCAUUACCUUAUCGUUGCUUGGUUUUAACAAAGCAUCUUCAGCUAUCUUUCACGCUGAAAUAGUUAAAACCACCUGAAGUUUCAAAUAAGCAAACAAUGCUACAAGGGAUAGUAAAACGUAUAGAAACCCCAACAGCCAAACAUUUGCUUAUUAUUAAAACCAACAUAUAGAACCAAAUCAACAAGUUUUCUCACAUUUAUUUGCAGAAAUAGCUAUAAAGUAAACAAAAUCAAAUUAUAAGUUUACUGUCACAUAGCUGCUGAAUCGAAUAAUUCCAGCACUCCCAUCCUUGCAACAUGCUCUAUAAACACAGAGACUUUGGUACUUUAUCAAACUCCAACGAGUUUGCCUAAAUACUUCCAGUGAAGCAUCAAUAUUGCCAUAUGCAACUAUGAAUUUAAUUGAAAGUCUUAAACAGAAACAACAUAGUGCGAACAACACUCCCACUAAUUCAGCGUAUCAACAAUGUAAUGUCUAAAAGACUUUCUCAUAGCAGUAGAAUUAGAUAAUUAUUCUAACUGGUUAGCCACAAGGAUUCUUUAUUGCGCGCAUCCUUUAAACAAGCCAAAAGAAAUCCUUACGACAUAAGUGUACAUUAUAAGUUAAUAUGCAAGAUAUAAGGCAAAACAAUACAGAAUUAUCUCCCCAUUAAUCUACAACAUCAUAACUUGAUUGUAGAACAAAAGCAUAUUAUCAUAAAAUUUCCUUUUCCUUUAAACUUUCCUUAACCAUGUAUGAUUGAAACACAAAAUCAUACCUAAAGUAAUCAAACAGUUAAAGUUUUGUCCUGUUACUUGAUCUCUGAAUGUUUGUUUUUUACGAAUUUUGGCGUAUACGAUCUUGAAGUAUAAGUAAACAAGUUUGGCGGUUAGAUCGUUGAAACUAGUUGCACAGAAUGCGUAUCCUAUCAAAACAAUAGAUUCACUAACACUUAGAGUUUAUUUAUACUUUCAUUAAGUAUAACAUAAGAUUUUAUGGUAUCCACUAGUGUAAAUAUUUUAAAUUGAAGAUCAAAUUCAUUCAUUGUAUUCAUAUAGGGUCAAGUUUUGUUUGAUCUCU